AGAGCCUCGGAAUGAACUAGAAUAUAGAUCAAGAUACUGAAGGUUGCUAUUAUUAAAUAACCAGCUGGGGAUUGUGGAAUUGAAGUUGUUAUUGCUAAGAUCGAGGACCUCAAGAGAUGUAAGAUUGACACGUGAAAACAUGACCAGUGAAGGAAAGCUUACAGUAAGUCAAAUGUAAUUCUAGUAGGGAAGGAAGCUUGUUUGUUGACUGGAACCAAUUGUCACACUUGUCCAGGAGCACAUACCCCAUGUUUAAGUAUUUCAAAGAAGAUGGAAAGUGGAGGCUGUCGAUCGCAAAUCCAUAAUUAUAACAGAGAUUAAGAUACUGCAAGUUUGAAAGGUUUCCAAGAUGAAGGGAAACCUUUCCCUGGAGUGAGGCCCAGGAAAGGUCGAGC
rnacentral:misc_RNA from 1 species